rnacentral:misc_RNA from 1 species
GAUGAAGAACGCAGCGAAAUGCGAUAAGUAGUGUGAAUUGCAGACUUUAGUGAAUCAUCGAAUCUUUGAACGCACAUUGCGCCCCUUGGUAUUCCAUUGGGCAUGCCUGUUCGAGCGUCAUUUAACCCCUCAAGCACUGCUUGGUGUUGGGCAUUUUGUCUACGGACUCGCCCCAAAUCUAUUGGCAGCAGCCUUACCAGCUUCUUGUGCAGUACAAUGCGCUUCGAGAAGCCUGUGUAGUGGUGUGCAAUCCAGUAAGCAACUGUUUAUUUUGACCUCGAAUCAGGUAGGGAUACCCGCUGAACUUAAGCAUAUCAAUAAGCGGAGGA